UCCGAAACCUGAAAUCCAAAAUCCCCCAUAACUACUCCUAAUCAUCCCUAGAGCCGCCGCAAUAUUAAUUAAACCCUAGUUUAAAAAAAUCACCAUCGCCCGUCUCCAUCUUGUCGUGUGUCUCCCGCUCGUCGUCGGCUCCUACUCGUGGUCGUUCAAGCUCAUCGUCGGCUCCUGCUCGUCAUCAUCUCCAGCUCGUCUCCAGUUCGACGUCGAGAUUCGUCGUCGUCUCGAACUCGUUGUCGGCUCCAGUUCGAAGUCCAGUUCAUCAUCAUCUUUAGUUCGUGGUCGAGAUCCCUACGCCGUCGAGACAUCUUCGUCGUCGAACACCGCCACAAUUAAAAACAGGCUUACCACAAGGAAGAGAUGGUCGGUGAAAGAGCAAGGACGCCCUGAAUCCAAAUCCAGAGGUAAAAGAAAGAUGAUCGCAUGGCGGGAUUUCAGCGGAUGACAUCUCUUAUUCUCCUCUUCUAGCUUCGAAACUGCUCGUGUCUCCAUCAUUUUCAGACUGAUACAACAUCAGUUCUUCAUAGGCAAUUGAAUACAUUAAGUUCCUACAUGAGCAAGUCAGUCUCUUGAGCACUCCAUACUUGAAGAAUGGGCAUCCCGUGCAACAUCAACAGUUCAGAAAAAUCCAAGGACGGCGAGGGACCAAGGCAGGACCUUAGAAGUAGAGGAUUGUGCUAAGUCCAUAAUACUCCGAAGGAAAGUGUAGGUUUCAGUGCAUUCAGUGCAUCACAAGCACUGUGUUCAACUAUGCUUCUACCCUACAAUUCUUUUGGUGACUGUAGAAUUGAAGUUUCAUUCUUCUAUUCAAGGUGGAAUGUCUAGGUGAAUUGAGGUCAGAUUCGCUUAUGGUUGAUGGGGUAGAAGACUACUCACAUCAGAUAGCUGAGAUGGUUGGGCUGAGACAUGAGUCAAACUUCAAUGAGGCUGGGGUUGGAACUGUGUUAGAUAUUGGGUGUGGCUUCGACAGCUUAGGAGUGCAUCUUUUCUCAAAACAGCUUCUAACAAUGUGCAUCGCAAACUACGAGCCCUCAGGUAGUCAAGUUCAACUUACUCUUGAGAGAGGUCUACCUGCCAUCGUUGGUUCAUUUGCAUCAAGACACUUGCCAUUCCCAUACCUCUCUUUUGACGAUGAUUAGAGUGUGCAAGAUGUGGAAUCGACUGGGAGAAGAAUGAUGAUAGUUUCUUGGUCUAAGUGGACAGACUUUUCUCGGGUUAAUCCAAACUCAACUGAACUUGCAAUUCAUGGACUUAGCCGAGGACGCAUUAAAUUGGAACUCUGCUGUUCGCAACUAUUGGUCUCUUCUUUCACCUCUGAUUUUCUCGGAUCAUCCAAAGAGGCCUGGUGAUGAGGAUCCCUCUCCACCUUUUAACAUGCUCAGAAAUGUGUUUGACAUGAAUGCUCGAUUAGGCGGGUUCUAUGCUGCACUGUUAAAUGCAGGAAAAUCUGUUUGGGUUAUUAGUGUUGUUCCCACAAGUGGUCCAAAUUAUGUCCCUCUCAUCCUUGACAAGGGAUUUAUUUCAGCACGGCUGCAUGUGUUAUAGAAGAAAAGAAAAAGAAUCAGAUGCUUUAACAACGCUUAGAUGAGCAGGAGUAACAACAACAAAGGAUGUCUGAGUUGGAGUCACAAGUGAAAGCUAU